rnacentral:rRNA from 1 species
AUAGAAGACACGAUUGCCUACUUCGAAGAGAAAGCAAAAGAAGAUCCUAAUUUCUUCUACAGGAUAAGAUUGGACGAUGAGGAACGUGUUAGAAACAUGUAUUGGGUGGAUGGUGCUGCAAGAAGAGCCUACAAACAUUUCCGUAAUUGCAUUUCUUCCGAGGCGACAUAUCUCACGAAUAUGUACAUGAUGCCAUGUGCUCCAUUCAUAGGAAUAAAUAACCACAAUCAGUCCUUGCAGUUCGGUCGCAGUCUCGUGCGGAACAAAGAUACUGAUGGUUACACUUGGUUGUUCAAAACCUUCUUGGAGUGAACGGGUGGACUUUCUCCGAUGAACAUAAGCUACACGAGGCGUUCGAGUUGUGUGUGGACCACAGCUUGA